UGUGUGUAUUUGGAUCUUACAACUUAUUUGUCACUUUGCCUGAACCCAGCUGUGGACAUGACUAUGGCCAGCACCAGCAGCAUAUUUAGCUAUUGCAGUGCUAGCAGGAAGUUGGGAAAUGAAUGUCUCUUUGGAACUUUAUUAAAACAAUGGAUCUGGAAAAUAAUUCUUGUGGAUUUAUAAACAUUCUUACAAAAAGAAUGAGAUAUGGAGCGAUAUUUUGAGAUAAAGCUAAUGCUUUUGAGCUUGCUCUUCCAUGCCUAGGGGGUGUAACACAUAUGCCAUUGCUCCAGCUCUGUAAGUCCUGAAUGGGAAGAUUCAACCCCACAGCUGUGAAUGGAAGAGGUAGAACUGAAACAUGGCCCAGGCUGUGGAAAACACUGAAAACCCCUGACUUUGUAAAUCAAUAUCAAUCAAUGCCCUGCAAAGUACAUCAUAAAUCUGGAUGUUCAAGAGAGAUAACCCUGAGCUGGGGGAAGAUUUGUUUCAUGGCUGGAGACCCAGACCUCCAGUUUCCCAAGGAGAAAGCAGGUCUCUAACUGCUGUGCUUCCUUCCAUGAAGAAGUGAAUUUCUUUGUUGCAGACACCCUGCUGCUGCUGCACUUCCUAAGGUGAAGUCCCCGUUCUCAGAAAUGGGGUGCUCUGAAUGCCACUGUACAGCAGCAUUCACAUUGAAGUCCUUCCAACACUACAGCAUUCACCUUUGCUUUAUGGUUUUAUUCAUGGUGAUGGAAACACUUAAUUCCACAAUAGCAUAUGGAUUGACUUUUUUUUUUUUUUUU